rnacentral:rRNA from 1 species
AGUUUGAUCAUGGCUCAGAUUGAACGCUGGCGGUAUGCUUAACACAUGCAAGUCGAACGGUAACAGGCCUUCGGGCGCUGACGAGUGGUGGACGGGUGAGUAACGCGUAGGAAUCUGCCUCAUAGUGGGGGACAACGUGGGGAAACUCACGCUAAUACCGCAUACGCCCUACGGGGGAAAGCGGGGGAUCUUCGGACCUCGCGCUAUGAGAUGAGCCUGCGUUAGAUUAGCUAGUUGGUAGGGUAAAGGCCUACCAAGGCGACGAUCUAUAGCUGGUCUGAGAGGACGAUCAGCCACACUGGGACUGAGACACGGCCCAGACUCCUACGGGAGGCAGCAGUGGGGAAUAUUGGACAAUGGGCGCAAGCCUGAUCCAGCAAUACCGCGUGUGUGAAGAAGGCCUUAGGGUUGUAAAGCACUUUCAAUUGGGAGGAAAACCUGCCGGUCAAUACCCGGUAGCUUGACAUUACCUUUAGAAGAAGCACCGGCUAACUCCGUG